GAUGAAGAACGUAGCGAAAUGCGAUAAGUAGUGUGAAUUGCAGAAUUCAGUGAAUCAUCGAAUCUUUGAACGCACAUUGCGCCCCUUGGUACUCCAUGGGGCAUGCCUGUUCGAGCGUCAUUUACACCCUCAAGCUCAGCUUGGUGUUGGGCGUCUGUCCCGCUUCGUGCGCGGACUCGCCACAAAUGCAUUGGCAGCGGUCUUGCCAGCUUCUCGCGCAGCACAUUGCGCUUCUAGAGGCUUUGGCGGAUCGGCGUCCAUCAAGUACACCCACAGUUUGACCUCGGAUCAGGUAGGGAUACCCGCUGAACUUAAGCAUAUCAAUAAGCGGAGGA
rnacentral:misc_RNA from 1 species